rnacentral:rRNA from 1 species
AACGAACGCUGGCGGCAGGCCUAACACAUGCAAGUCGAGCGCGCCUUCGGGUGAGCGGCGGACGGGUGAGUAACGCGUGGGAAUAUGCCCUUCUCUACGGAAUAGUCCUGGGAAACUGGGGGUAAUACCGUAUACGCCCUUUGGGGGAAAGAUUUAUCGGGGAAGGAUUAGCCCGCGUUGGAUUAGGUAGUUGGUGGGGUAAUGGCCUACCAAGCCGACGAUCCAUAGCUGGUUUGAGAGGAUGAUCAGCCACACUGGGACUGAGACACGGCCCAGACUCCUACGGGAGGCAGUAGUGGGGAAUCUUAGACAAUGGGGGCAACCCUGAUCUAGCCAUGCCGCGUGAGUGAUGAAGGCCUUAGGGUUGUAAAGCUCUUUCAGCUGGGAAGAUAAUGACGGUACCAGCAGAAGAAGCCCCGGCUAACUCCGUG